CGGUCGCAAGGCUGAAACUUAAAGGAAUGGCGGGGGAGCACCACAACGGGUGGAGCUGCGGUUUAAUUGGACUCAACGCCGGGCAGCUCACCGGAUAGGACAGCGGAAUGAUAGCCGGGCUGAAGACCUUGCUUGACCAGCUGAGAGGAGGUGCAUGGCCGUCGUCAGUUCGUACUGUGAAGCAUCCUGUUUAGUCAGGCAACGAGCGAGACCCACGCCAACAGUUACUAGCAUGUUCUCCGGAAUGAAAAGGACACUGUAGAGACCGCCUCCGCUAAAGAGGAGGAAGGAAUGGGCAACGGUAGGUCAGCAUGCCCCGAAUUAUACGGGCUACACGCGGGCUACAAUGGUCAGGACAAUGGGAAACGGCACUGAAAAGUGUAGUCAAUCUCCUAAACCUGUCCCAAGUUCGGAUUGUGGGCUGCAACUCGCCCACAUGAAACUGGAAUCCGUAGUAAUCGCGUUUCAAAAUAGCGCGGUGAAUAAGUC
rnacentral:rRNA from 1 species